UGAUCCAGCAAUGCCGCGUGUGUGAAGAAGGCCUUCGGGUUGUAAAGCACUUUUGUUAGGGAGGAAAGUCUGGUAGCUAAUAACUGCUAGAUCUGACGUUACCUAAAGAAUCAGCACCGGCUAACUCUGUGCCAGCAGCCGCGGUAAUACAGAGGGUGCAAGCGUUAAUCGGAAUUACUGGGCGUAAAGGGUCUGUAGGCGGAUUAUUAAGUCGGAUGUGAAAUCCCCGGGCUCAACCUGGGAACGGCAUUCGAUACUGGUAGUCUAGAGUGUGCAAGAGGAUGGGGGAAUUCCUGGUGUAGCAGUGAAAUGCGUAGAGAUCAGGAGGAACAUCAAUGGCGAAGGCACCUUUCUGGGGCAACACUGACGCUGAGAGACGAAAGCGUGGGGAGCAAACAGGAUUAGAUACCCUGGUAGUCCACGCCCUAAACGAUGUCAACUAACUGUUCGGAGUCACUAAGAUUCUGAGUAGUGAAGCUAACGCGAUAAGUUGACCGCCUGGGGAGUACGGCCGCAAGGUUGAAACUCAAAGAAAUUGACGGGGGCCCGCACAAGCGGUGGAGUAUGUGGUUUAAUUCGAUGCAACGCGAAGAACCUUACCCGGUCUUGACAUGGUAGGAAUCUUGUAGAGAUACGAGAGUGCCUUCG
rnacentral:rRNA from 1 species